UCAUUUGAUCACAUCAUUCUGAGUGCACCCAAUCUCCCUUCAUCUUGGAAGAUAAGCAGAGUUGGACCUGAUUAAUACUUGAAUAGAGGAUUGUAUGGGAAUACCAGAUGCUGAAGGUU
rnacentral:rRNA from 1 species